AUUGAACGCUGGCGGAAUGCUUUACACAUGCAAGUCGAACGGCAGCACGGGGGCAACCCUGGUGGCGAGUGGCGAACGGGUGAGUAAUGUAUCGGAACGUGCCCAGUCGUGGGGGAUAACGUAGUGAAAAUUACGCUAAUACCGCAUACGAGCUAUGGAUGAAAGCGGGGGAUCGCAAGACCUCGCGCGAUUGGAGCGGCCGAUACCGGAUUAGGUCGUUGGUGGGGUAAAGGCUCACCAAGCCGACGAUCUGUAGCUGGUCUGAGAGGACGACCAGCCACACUGGAACUGAGACACGGUCCAGACUCCUACGGGAGGCAGCAGUGGGGAAUUUUGGACAAUGGGCGAAAGCCUGAUCCAGCCAUUCCGCGUGCAGGAUGAAGGCCUUCGGGUUGUAAACUGCUUUUGUACGGAACGAAACGGCGAGCUCUAAUACAGUUUGCUAAUGACGGUACCGUAAGAAUAAGCACCGGCUAACUACGUGCCAGCCGCCGCGGUAACAC
rnacentral:rRNA from 1 species